rnacentral:rRNA from 1 species
AUUGAACGCUGGCGGCAGGCCUAACACAUGCAAGUCGAGCGGUUGAAGGGAGCUUGCUCCUGGAUUCAGCUGCGGACGGGUGAGUAAUGCCUAGGAAUCUGCCUGGUAGUGGUGGAUUACGUCCGGAAACGGGCGCUAAUACCGCAUACGUCCUUAGGGCGAAAGUGGUGGUUCUUCGGACCUCACGCUAUCACAUGAGCCUAGGUCGGAUUAGCUAGUUGGUGGGGUAAAGUCCUACCAAGGCGACGAUCCGUAACUGGUCUUAGAGGAUGAUCAGUCACACUGGAACUGAGACACGGUCCAGACUCCUACGGGAGGCAGCAGUGGGGAAUAUUGGACAAUGGGCGAAAGCCUGAUAAAGCAAUGCCGCGUGUGUGAAGAAGGUCUUCGGAUUGUAAAGCACUUUAAGUUGGGAGGAAGGGCAGUAAGUUAAUACCUUGCUGUUUUGACGUUACCAAAAGAAUAAGCACCGGCUAACUUCGUG